rnacentral:rRNA from 1 species
UACGGAGGUGCAAGCGUUGUUCGGAUAUACUGGGCGUAAAGCGCACGUAGGCGGCGCAGCAAGUCAGGGGUGAAAUCCCGGGGCUCAACCCCGGAACUGCCCUUGAAACUGCAGUGCUAGAAUCUUGGAGAGGCGAGUGGAAUUCCGAGUGUAGAGGUGAAAUUCGUAGAUAUUCGGAAGAACACCAGUGGCGAAGGCGACUCGCUGGACAAGUAUUGACGCUGAGGUGCGAAAGCGUGGGAGCAACAGG